AAGCUUUACUGUUCUGGUACAGUCGGAUCCACCGCUUUGUAACACAGUGCUUAUUGGGUCAGAUAAUUGCUAUCAUCGUUUCAUUUCAAAUUAUUGCCUACGUUAGCAAGCCACCUAUCUUGACACUCAGUUCUGGCUCAAUUGAAAUUUAUUUUGGUUUUAUUUCUUUCUUUUUUGCUAGCCAACUGAACCGGACUAUAGUCUACUAUGCAAUGGUGCCACUUGGCUGUCAUAAUAGGCCUCCCAACGCUAAUUUAAUCAGUCCAUUCUGUGUGCUUCAGUCACAGGGAUCUCUUUGACAUUGAUUCUGGUGGUGCUAGUGUUUCAGCAUCAGGUGUAGCGACGGUGUCCUGACAGCUAUGACCUUGUGAGCACAGAGGAAUACUCGUAUUGACAUACUCACAUGUCUCCAGAGAACGUUACUGUGUAGCAAAGGCGCAUCUGGGCCCUGGUUUGUGCUUUGUAAUAGGAGGACUUGGUUGCAGCAUCUGGGUGUGUAUAUCCAUACUGAAAUGCACCAGGAAUUUUGGAACUGAGCAGAAGGGGAGGGCAGUAAAGCAGAGUGGUGGAUGGGCGGAUCUUGGAUUACGUCACUGGAUCAAUUUCAGAAGCACGCUCCAAGGACCAUGGAGAUGGAAUGAUACAUGCUGCCGGAAACUUGCGCUAACUUGCAGAUGACUCCAGUUCAUUCCGAGCUCCCAGCCCGGCAGGAUCUGUAGCUAAGCGUUAAAAGUGCAGACACCAGGGUGGAGUCCUCUUCUUGAGGGUAAUGAAGUACCCGAGAUCACCUUUUUAAUCUUUGUUCAGUCCCUGUUUCUGCUGAACUGGAAGUGUAAGGAACAGCGGCCAUUACCAUUGCCUGUCUGGCUGUUACACAAGGUCGGCAGUGGAUCUGAUUCAAUAGAACUCCAUGUUCAGACUUUUUGGACCUAAGGGCUUGCAGUUCAUGGGAAUGUGGUUGGUGUUUGGCCAGGUCUUGAGACGGCAAGCUCAGCUUGCAUGCAACUUUUAUUGACUCCUCCUCUAAUUACCAUUUCCUCUGUUGGCAUACUCUCCCAUCUGUGGGUCUUGCGCACUCAUCCUCUCUGACUGUUCUCA